UUGUUCAAUUUACUCGAACUCCGACGCAGAGAUGCAGGGUGGGAGGGCCUCCGGGGGCGCCCGCCGUCGAAACGGCAGGGUCGCCCCCGAAGCAACGAGAUGUGUUCACAAAGGGUUGGAGGUCGGGCCCGGGGCCCUCGCUCAGUAAUGAUCCCUCCGCAGGUUCACCUACGGAGA
rnacentral:misc_RNA from 1 species